CUCGGGUGGAACUAAUUCAGGAAAAGACAAAGAGAAAUUCUGCUCCGCGCGCAAAAUUCCGCCUAGUGAGUAUAGUGGAAAACGGCCUUCAAAUACUCGGGAGUAAAAUUUACUCCAAAACUGGAGUUGUUCUGUACCUUUUCUAAUUUACUCCAAUUUAGGAGUCAACAUGACUAUAUUGGAGUAAAGAUAAGUCCUUAAUUAACCUCAAGUCAAAAGCAAGUGAAAAGAGUAUAUUAUCCCUAUUAGAGCAUAUUACAACAGGAAAUACGUACAAUUAACGUCGCUUCAGCAUAUAAUGACAUAUUUUUAGGCUCGAUAACACUUCUUUGACUGCAGUUCUAAGAUCGCAUUUUGAUCAGAAUGACAUGGCUAUAUAUGUGUAUAAGGCCACUAUUUGUUGUAUAUUAGUUUCUCAUCCCCGCCCGCAUGCUUUUUAAGAAAAUUGUCUUGUUCGCCAUUAUUGCCAUUAUUGCCAUUUUUGACCAUUAUUACAAAUUUUGUGAUGUCUUCAAAAUUAUAUUUGAAAGAAAGACAUGCAAUUAGAAAGUCUAGAAACGUUCCCAAACCAAAAGUUUUAGUUAAGAUACGAAAUUUCAUACCAAUUGCAAAACUGCCAGUUUCUCUCGCAUUUACGUAAAAGUUCUACCGAAAGCCAGGGGCAGGG